rnacentral:lncRNA from 1 species
AUGCUCAAAAUUCUCGAAGCCAGACUUCAGCAAUACAUGAACCGUGAACUUCCUGAUGUUCAAGCUGGUUUUAGAAAAGGCAGAGGAACCAGAGAUCAAAUUGUCAACAUCCGCUGGAUCAUGGAAAAAGCGAGAGAGUUCCAGAAAAACAUCUACUUCUGCUUUAUUGACUAUGCCAAAGCCUUUGACUGUGUGGAUCACAAUAAACUGUGGACAAUUCUGAAAGAGAUGGGAAUACCAGACCACCUGACCUGCCUCUUGAGAAAUCUGUAUGCAGGCCAGGAAGCAACAGUUAGAACUGGACAUGGAACAACAGACUGGUUCCAAAUAGGAAAAGGAGUACGUCGAGGCUGUAUAUUGUCACCCUGCUUAUUCAACUUAUAUGCAGAGUACAUCAUGAGAAACGCUGGACUGGAAGAAACACAAGCUGGACUCACGAUUGCCGGGGGAGAUAACCUCAGAUAUGCAGAUGAUACCACCCUUAUGGCAGAAAGUGAAGAGGAGCUAAAAAGCCUCUUGAUGAAAGUAAAAAAGGAGAAUGAAAAAGUUGGCUUAAAGCUCAACAUUCAGAAAACGAAGAUCAUGGCAUCCAGUCCCAUCACUCCAUGGGAAAUAAAUGGAGAAACAGUGGAAACAGUGUCAGACUUUAUUUUUCUGGGCUCCAAAAUCACUGCAGAUGGUGACUGCAGCCAUGAAAUUAAAGGACGCUUACUCCUUGGAAGAAAAGUUAUGACCAACCUAGAUAGCAUAUUCAAAAGCAGACACAUUACUUUGCUGACUAAGGUCCGUCUAGUUAAGGCAAUGGUUUUCCCAGUAGUCAUGUAUGGAUGUGAGAGUUGGACUAUGAAGAAGACUGAGCGCCGAAGAAUUGAUGCUUUUGAACUGUGGUGUUGGAGAAGACUCUUGAGAGUCCCUUGGACUGCAAGGAGAUCCAACCAGUCCAUUCUGAAGGAGAUCAACCCUGGGAUUUCUUUGGAAGGAAUGAUGCUAAAGCUGAAACUCCAGUACUUUGGCCACCUCAUGUGA